UGGGGAUAUUGCACAAUGGGCGAAAGCCUGAUGCAGCGACGCCGCGUGAGGGAAGACGGUUUUCGGAUUGUAAACCUCUGUCUUCGGGGACGAAAAUGACGGUACCCGAGGAGGAAGCCACGGCUAACUACGUGCCAGCAGCCGCGGUAAUACGUAGGUGGCAAGCGUUGUCCGGAUUUAUUGGGCGUAAAGCGAGUGCAGGCGGUUCAAUAAGUCUGAUGUGAAAGCCUUCGGCUCAACCGGAGAAUUGCAUCAGAAACUGUUGAACUUGAGUGCAGAAGAGGAGAGUGGAACUCCAUGUGUAGCGGUGGAAUGCGUAGAUAUAUGGAAGAACACCAGUGGCGAAGGCGGCUCUCUGGUCUGCAACUGACGCUGAGGCUCGAAAGCAUGGGUAGCGAACAGGAUUAGAUACCCUGGUAGU
rnacentral:rRNA from 1 species